AAUAAUAUUCAGGGCAUGGUGAAAUUCCAGACCGGUGGUAAAGUCCACGAGUGAAAACUGAAAUGGUGAAAUUCCAUUACCGAUAGUUAAAGUCUAGAUGAAAGAAUAUAAAU
rnacentral:ncRNA from 2 species